rnacentral:lncRNA from 1 species
CAAGCUGCGUUUCCUAUCGUAACCGAGGACGAAGCAUCAAAGGAAGAAGAAAGCUCCGCCGCUGCUGUUCCUCCUCCUGAAGAAGGAAUCCGCCCUCCUGAUGGCGAAUCACUGGUUGCAGGCACAGAAGACCCCCAGUUCAGGUAUCCUGUAAUCCUAUAUGCAAUUCCUGCUAAGUUCUUCUCACCAGCUUAAUUUACACAACAAACAAGACAAAGAAAAGAAAAUAAAUGACUGAUGAGAGAAUUUACUCUUUAAAGGGGCUGCAAGACCUGCGGAAGGGAGGAAGUCGAGAAGGGCUGCAAUGGCGAGGGGCGAAUCCAGGGCGGGAUAGCAACGGUGCCCGGCUUCGGCUGGUGGCCGAUAAAAGCCUUCAGGCCUUGCCCGGGGUUCGUG